rnacentral:rRNA from 1 species
UACAGAGGGUGCGAGCGUUGUUCGGAAUUAUUGGGCGUAAAGGGCGCGUAGGCGGUGCGGUAAGUCACCUGUGAAAUCUCCUGGCUCAACUGGGAGCUUGCAGGCGAAACUGCCGUGCUGGAGUGUGGGAGAGGUGCGUGGAAUUCCUGGUGUAGCGGUGAAAUGCGUAGAUAUCAGGAGGAACACCUGUGGCGAAGGCAGCGUACUGGACCAUAUCUGACACUGAGAUGCGAAAGCGUGGGGAGCGAACGGG